rnacentral:rRNA from 1 species
AUUGAACGCUGGCGGCAUGCCUAACACAUGCAAGUCGAGCGAGCGGCGGACGGGUGAGUAAUGUAUGGGGACUGCCCGAUAGAGGGGGAUAACUACUGGAAACGGUGGCUAAUACCGCAUACUAUCGGAUAACCCAUAUGGGAUUAGCUAGUUGGUGGGGUAAAGGCUUACCUAGGCGACGAUCUCUAGCGGGUCUGAGAGGAUGAUCCGCCACACUGGGACUGAGACACGGCCCAGACUCCUACGGAGGCAGCAGUGGGGAAUUUUGCACAAUGGGCGCAAGCCUGAGACAGCCAUGCCGCGUGUAUGAAGAAGGCCUUAGGGUUGUAAAGGACUUUCGGCAGGGAGGCGGUACCCAAAGAAGAAGCACCGGCUAACUCCGUGCCAGCAGCCGCGGUAAUAC